UCAUGGCUCAGGAUGAACGCUAGCGACAGGCUUAACACAUGCAAGUCGAGGGGCAGCAUAGAAGUAGCAAUACUUCGGUGGCGACCGGCGCACGGGUGAGUAACGCGUAUGCAACCUACCUAUCGAAGAGGGGAAUAACCCGGCGAAAGUCGGACUAAUACCGCAUAAAACAGGGGCACCGCAUGGCGAUAUUUGUUAAAGAAAUUCGCUGAUAGAUGGGCAUGCGUUCCAUUAGGUAGUUGGUGAGGUAACGGCUCACCAAGCCGACGAUGGAUAGGGGAACUGAGAGGUUGGUCCCCCACACUGGUACUGAGACACGGACCAGACUCCUACGGGAGGCAGCAGUGAGGAAUAUUGGUCAAUGGGCGGGAGCCUGAACCAGCCAAGUCCGCGUGAAGGAAGAAGGAUCUAUGGUUCGUAAACUUCUUUUGCAGGGGAAUAAAGUGCAGGACGUGUCCUGUUUUGUAUGUACCCUGAGAAUAAGGAUCGGCUAACUCCGUGCCAGCCGCGGC
rnacentral:rRNA from 1 species